UAGAUCUGACCAUCUGACUGGUGUUCUG
rnacentral:sRNA from 1 species